rnacentral:rRNA from 1 species
ACUCCUGAUGCAGCCACGCCGCGUGAGUGACGAUGGCCUUCGGGGUGUAAAGCUCUUACGGGCCCCAUAAUGACGGGGCCUGGAGAAGCAGCUGCGGAAAAAGGCGAGACAGCAGGCGCGGGAAUACGUAGGGGGCGAGCGUUGUUCGGAAUUACUGGGCGUAAAGGGAGCGUAUGCGGUUGGCUAAGUUGGGUGUGAAAUCUCCCGGCUUAACUGGGAGGGUGCGCUGAAGACUGGACGACUGGAGUGUGGGAGAGGAAAGCGGAAUUCCUGGUGUAGCGGGGAAAUGCGUAGAGAUCAGGAGGAACACCUGGGGUGAAGACGGCUUUCUGGACCAAGACUGACGCUGAGGCCGAAAGCGAGGGUAGCAAACAGGAUUAGAUACCCUGGUAGUCCACGCGUUUAAACGACUUUAUGCUUGCCGUGGGCCUUUCAAUGUUUCGGGGCCGGAGCUAACGCGUUAAGUAUGCCGCCUGGGGAAUACGGUCGCAAGGUUGAAACUGAAAGGAAUUGACGGG